AGGGGCCCUUAUCGAAGCUGUAGUUGCUUCCACGUAGCCGCUGUGAUCAAAAAGGAACCCAGAGUAAUAGUUUUCCUUGACGGUCGCCAUUCUGUUUGCUGUAACUGAUCUGCAACAUUUUGGGAAAAUACAGUU